GCAUAGCCGGGUUAUAUAGUAAUAUAUAACUUUCAUCUCGCUAUAUGCUGGAAACUCCUUAUAAAUAAACUAGCUAGAUCAAUAGAGCAAUUCUUUAUUGAAUCAUAAAUAUCUGUUUAUAUUGGACAAUCGGAAACUAAGUCUAGUCUAGUAAUAUAUCUAGACAGUAGGAUCCUCAGAGACUACAUGCGAGACAUCCUAUUCUAUAAAUCGAAUCAAUCCCCCUUAAGAGAUAAAUAUAGAAGGAUGAAGAUAUAGUCCGACCCUCUGGAAACAGAAGG
rnacentral:ncRNA from 1 species